rnacentral:SRP_RNA from 1 species
UGACAAGUCUUUUACGGCCAGCUCCUGCUGAACUCCCCCAGGACCGGAAGGUAGCAAGGGUAAGCGGUUGAAGCGGCGCGAUAGAAGGUGCUUGUCAGGA